GUUUGGCCGGGGUAGGCCGUCAUUGUAAAUAAGAAAAUCAGUUCCUGAUGAUUACAGAAUAGGAUACAGUUUUCCUAUCCCUGCUCCCCCUCAACACUCAUUCCAACGUUACUUUUUUUGCAGGAAUCUUCUAGCUUGGAUGCCAGGAUGGAGGAGGGAACAAAGGGAAGGAGUACAGAAGUUAUCCAGCCGGCUGACUAAGAAAUUUCCUGAAACAUGUCAAUGACCUAAUGCAUGGCCCACUCCAUUACCAGUGACCUAUUCUGCCACAAAAGGAGAGAGCAGCACCACUACUCCUUAAAUCCAGUAUUGACAGUGCAAAACCCUUGUGUCCUGAUUGAACAGACACCUCCCUUGAUUGAUGACCAAUGAAUUCCUGUCCCACUUCAAUAUGAAGGGACAGAGGAGCAAACAUGCCUUCGCUACCACUUGUGUGUGUGCUCCAUUGUAGUUGGUAAGUAAAUGUAAGCAGUUGAGAUAUUUGACAUAGACAAUGAGAAUUUCUUUCUAGAUUCUGACUUUUUAAAGAUAUUAUACUCUGCGUUACUGUUGUGUCCUGCAUGCCCACAAUAUGCCAUUCGUUAACUUAAAUUCUUCGCUUUGUAUGCUGAAGUGUCAUGAAAAGCCAGAAAAUGUAGGAGGUUAAUGAGUUGCGGGCCCUCUGGAAAGUCCUAAAAUAUGCCCCUGACCACCGUGGUGGAGGAGGAUGCAAAGUCUGCAUAAAAAAAGUUAUUUUUUGAAGAUAUAACUUAGUGAUAACUGCCACAAGCUUCUUCAACUAGUACCAUGGAAAUACUUUAGCAGAGUCCAAAAAACAUCUUCAGGGAUGAUACAGUUGUAAUGCACAACUCUUCAAGAGGGAAACCACGCUCCAGAUCACCUUCUGUGCUCAGAGGUCCUUGAUGAGGAUCUAACCCAUCACACCACUUUUAUUAAUCAAUCAAAUAAAACAAUCAGCCUUUAUAUACUCUGUGUCCCAGUAUUUCUAUGCAUGUAAUGUAUGUGGGUGAAUUAUGAAACAAUUACUGUAUGCAGAUGUGCCAUAAAUUGUGGUAUAGAUUUGUUUUUGUAAGAAUGUUGGAGAUUUCAACUUUAAUUGGUGACUAUGGAAACAAAUACAAAUGUAAUGAAUUGUGUUUUCAAUCUCCAACUGUCCUCUGUAAUACUUUUUACAGUAGGUAAUAAAUGGUCAUUACCAGGUUAUGAGGUCUUAACUAUGACCAGUAGCCUACAUAAUAUUACCGUCAGAAUUAUGACCAGCUGGUCAGAUAGGUCACAAAUAAUUAAGAACAACUGUAAAAAACAUAUAUAUAUAUAUAUAUAUUUUCAACCAGUUUGCGACAAGAAUAUGUCAUUCAGUCAGGUUUUACCAACUGGGAAGGGUAGGCUACACUCCUUAACAGUACAUUCUUGGGCUAGGUAGCCUAUAUGCAUUCAUUCACAGAUUUAUAAAAUUACACAGAAGGAUUGGUCCUUGCUCUUGGAUGAAAGAAAACAUAUGUAGUCUACUCAGAUUAGAACAGAACUAUGCUAUUCAACAGUGCAAGGCUCACCAUAACUUCUCCCUCACACUCCAAAUCCACCAUAGCAUCAUAUCGCCCUUUCAGAUCCUGUCAACACAAAUGUUAACCAAUGUUAGGCUAACUCAAGAGCAAUUUACUAUUCGUUUACAAUUUAAAACAUUGUAUUUCCCCCAACAAAUAAUACAUCUCGGCCAACACCACUUAAAUGUAUAACCAUAAUAGUUCCAAUAUUCAAAAUGACAGCAGUCGCUUCAAGUGAGAGCAGCGCUCUGCCGCUUACCAUUAG